GGGGUAGAGGGGGUUUUGUUACUGAGUAUACUCUUAGAGAAAUAGUUAACACUACAAUAGCCUUGAGGCUCAGAGCAGUGUGACAGGCAGUCGAAUGCGUGUACCUGUCCUUCUUAAGAUUUACUAUGAAACCAUCUUAAGCACUUUAUAACCCAGUCCUCAGGCUCUGGCGUUGCCAUGAGCACUUUUAACUGUCUCACCAGCUUUCCCAGGCACAGCCAUCACACUCCAUCCGUUCCAAAGUUAGCUAUAUAAAAAUAUCACCACAACCACAAAUUCCUUACAAGGUGAAGGACAUUACCAUUAAUGUCCCAAUGGCAUUACCAGUGCCCUGGCAUCCUGGUGGGUCCCAUUAAACAUGUUCACAAGGAGUUGGGGUCAUCUCAUCACCGUUUCUAUCUUUUGUCUCCUUUUAAAAAGACUUCCAUUUUUAUGUAUUUAUUUGCUUAAAACAUCCUACCUUUCUUUUUCCCGAAAAUGUCUUUAUCCCCAUCUCAGACAAGGAGCUGACACAGAUAAGAGCAAACUAGAUUCCACCUUUACACAGAUUUUUUGCUUAAAACACACACAACGUACUCUUCUUUAGAACACACACCCUCGAGGGGAGAAACCCUGGAACACAGUUCUUCGUGUGCACACAGAGUGCUGGAGGAAAUCCAUUAAUUUUGCCAUUCACAAUUUGAGAGCCUCUGUUCCAGAUGUCACUAGCCCUCUGGUGUUCAAUUGGAGUCAAUGUUUCUAGCUUCUUGAAGAGAUCUGAAAAGUGUUAAUGCCAAGAGUUUACUAUCAUUUUGAGGAGGUGGUCUCAUAUUAGAAUCACCUAGGCAACUUGAAAACAAAAUGAUGCCAAGGUUCAUCUCCAGAAAUUUGGAAACAACUGCCCUGGGGUUGAGUCCCAAGAUUUGUGCUUUUGAAAACUCCCAGGUGAAUCUACCAUGCAGCAGUGCUGAGCCGCAGUACUCGCCGUUCUAGGAAGCAGUUAGAUAGGAGUGCUGUUGGAGCUUUGCCAAAGAUGGUUUCCCAGGACCAGGUCAGAAGACAUAUUAUCAAUAAGAGCUGGCUCCUCGGAUGACCUGAUUUGCUUAACCCUUUCAUGUUUGCUGGAUACAUCUAAGACCUUACAUUUACCUCCGAGCACGGCUUCAGCGGCGUCUCAUCAGGUUUCAGUAUGCAGCACCUGCACUGCAUAAAGCACCUUAAUGAAUGAACCAGAUCUUAAUGGACCUACCUGUUCCCAAAGUGAAAGAGCUUCAAAGUGAAAGAGCUGCAGGUAUGUCAGCGCUGCCCAUGUCAUCUAUUACCUUAAACCAAACAUCACCAAACCUUGCUUUCAAGUAAGAAAACUGUAGAGAAAGUAAGAGUCAUGACGGCGUUUCUGCAUUUUAGCUGGUACAAGUGUGGAUCAAUUAUCCCACUUUGCUCAUAUUUUGCCAUUGGUAACCUUGCUAAUCCCAUCUAAUAUUCUGUAUAUAAAGCAACAAGUUACCCAAAAGUUACUUUGGAGUCUCCUCAUCACAGUUCAUGUUACAGAUGAGACUGCAGACACUUAUUUCUGUUAUCGUACUAUAGAUGUUUAUAUAGCUGAAGCUUUUUUCAACCCUUGAAUUAUUUUCCCCCUGAUAUUCUUCUCUUUCCUCCAAUCCUUACACAUGUCCACAUCUGAAAUACUGAUGAACAGGUUAUCACUGCUACCUGAAGUUCCUUCCUGGCUAGACCCCUGCAAACAACAGUCACUGAUUUCCAGAAGGCAGUUCCCACCCCCACACCCUGUGAGUGCUGCCAACACCUAAAACUACAUCCCAGUCAGAUUUCUGGCUCAGAAUCCUCUGCACUUUGAUUCUGGCAGCUGUUAAAACUCAAAAUAAUAGAAUCGAGUUGCUUCUUCCAAUGGAGGGCUCCCAGGCAGAGCCUGUGGUCAGACCCUGAAACAGCUUUUCAGGCUCCAUCUCUUAUGACAGCAGCUGUCAUCUGCCUGUUACAAGACUUUCAGGACUUGGCUCUUGGAGAACAGCCUUCGGCCACUUCACAGUGGGCUCUGUGGGCUCAUGGAGGGGCAUCCUGUGUUCUGUUCAACUACAUUCUGAGAGAGAGAACUUUUUACUGCUAUGGAAAAUUUUGUUCUUGUGCAUUACAAGUCUUGCCAAGUCUCUUAACGUGAGCAUUUCUUCAGAGAUGGAAGCCAGAAGAACUCUUUGGUUAUUCAGAUACAGAAUACAAGGCUGCAUAUUUGGGAGCAGCCUGGCUUUCUUCAUAAAUGCAUUUUGUAGGGUGAUGGUCUACAAAUAAUUGAAAUGGAAAGCCACUUGUAGAGACAACAACUUCAUCAAAGGACACAGACACACACACAGACACACAGACCUACACACACAACAAAGCACAGCACAGCACUCCAGUAUCUGUCAGAGAAACAAAGGCCCAAACCACAGUCCACUUUAUACUCACCAGAAUGGCUUGCAUGAAUUUGAAGUUGGGGUAAAUGUGAUUUUCACACGUGGUAUUGGUUUGGUUUUAAACCACAUGCUCACUUAUUUUAAGAAGCGUAAUUUAACUUUGGUUUCUUUAAAAGACAUCUUUGGGUUUCUUAAGCAUUGGAGGCAGUGAUGGAUUUAAAAAUCACUGGUACUGGUCGUUUCAAACGAAAGUAGUUUCCCUAAUCCAAAUACAUGCAGUGGGACACUAGGGGAUUUGUAACAGUGCUGCUGGCUUUGUUCCUGCCAAGGAUGUAUUUUUGCUUGGUGUUGGAAAGAAGCAUCCCGUGGACUUCAGAGAAGCUCCCCCACCCAAGCAUGAGUGCCCUGCGUUGCCCACAAAGCAGCCUGCCUUUUUCCACUGCAGACACACAGACACACACGCUCUCGCCCGCCCGCCCGCCCCUCAGAA